rnacentral:rRNA from 1 species
UACGUAGGGUGCAAGCGUUAAUCGUAAUUACUGGGCGUAAAGCGUGCGCAGGCGGUUAUAUAAGACAGAUGUGAAAUCCCCGGGCUCAACCUGGGAACUGCAUUUGUGACUGUAUAGCUAGAGUACGGUAGAGGGGGAUGGAAUUCCGCGUGUAGCAGUGAAAUGCGUAGAUAUGCGGAGGAACACCGAUGGCGAAGGCAAUCCCCUGGACCUGUACUGACGCUCAUGCACGAAAGCGGGGGAGCAAACAGG